UGUUUGUGUUGGUGCUGAACCGGUUUAACAAACCAAUUUGGAUUAACUGCAGGGCUGGAAUUAUGCAGUUAUUUGGUUUAGGUAGGUUUUUUCCUUGUGAAGCAGGUUUGGAAUGUUGUAGAUAUGUGCAGGGACUGUUAUAUGGAUGUUGAAUGAUGUCAUAUACUUGGCAGGUUCUGAUAUUGACGCAUCAUAGGCUGCUGAACUUGUUGUGGAUUGGCUGAAAAACUCGCUUUGGUCAUAGAGAGAACAUGAAGAAUGAUGAGGAAGCUGGCUUGACGCGAGAGUGACGACCUCUUGGAGCAAUCCGAUGGAUUGGACCUCUUUUUUCUUGUUUAAACCCCCUUUUUUUGGUUUUGUUGAUUCAAUUUUGUAACUUAUAAGAAACUUGUAUGACUAGAAACUUUGUAUGUCCAUUAACUUGUAAAGUGAUGUGAUUUCGUUGAUUCGCAUUGAAGCUGAAUGAAACUUUUUCUUGUA